GACGUAAGGCGCGAGCGUUGUCCGGAUUUAUUGGGCGUAAAGAGCUCGUAGGCGGCUUGUCGCGUCGUCCGUGAAAACCUGCAGCUCAACUGCAGGCUUGCGGUCGAUACGGGCAGGCUAGAGUUCGGUAGGGGAGACUGGAAUUCCUGGUGUAGCGGUGAAAUGCGCAGAUAUCAGGAGGAACACCGGUAGUGGCAAGGCGGUCUCUGGGCCGAUACUGACGCUGAGGAGCGAAAGCGUGGGGAGCGAACAGG
rnacentral:rRNA from 1 species